rnacentral:lncRNA from 1 species
GAAUUACUCUUGGAGUAGCAAUUGCUGGAUGUGCCUCUUUUGUUGAGGUGAUUGGAUCUUUUGGCAAAAACCAGUGACUGCAAAGGAUGAGAGAAACGAUCAGAAAAACUGAAAAGCUGUAGGAGACCAAACACUAGUGUCUCCCCUGCUUCAGGGGACACCCACUGUCAGAGUGAACGACAAAGACGCGCGUGGAUGAUUUGAAGAUAUUAGCCUAACAAGAUGGAAGCAGGUUUAAAAUUUUACAUAAGAAGUUACCUUUUUCAGGUAAUGGUGUUUUUCUGUAAUUUUCCCAAACCUUUCGCUUCCUCAAGUAUUGCAAAUUUUUAGGGCAUGCUUGAAUGAUUUAAUUAUGAAGAAUAACUACAUUUUAAACUUAAUUUUUUAAAAAAGAAACCAGUUUUAUAAUUUUCCUAGCCAAGGAGUAGAGCAGGCAUGACAUUCAACUCUAUGGAGUUUGGAAAAUUUUUAGAAAUUUAUUACUGAACAGCACUUGGUUUUUUGGAUUUGAAAAUUAAGCCAUAGAGCUACAACUAAAUUCUGUUUUGCCAAACUUCACAGCACCAGCAGGCUCUGAGCAAUCAUAAGCAUUUGAAACUAGCAGGCACUGCCCCUUAACUCUGUCGCUAUCUUGGGCAUUUGAAUGAAAAAAUAUAAGUAUUACAGGAUUGGCUCUAAAAAGCCUACCAUGUGUUCUGAAUUCCUGGAAGAUAGAGCUUAUAUAAAUUACAUAAUAACAAUAUUGAUUUUUUUUUUUACUUUAGUCAUAGAUUGGCAAUACUAUAUGGCACUUUAUGAAACUAUUCCCAUGCAUAUAUUCAGUGAGUAGGAUUUGAUCUUAGCUUUCAUGAUACAGGCAGUUUCCUUUUAGUGUCAUUGAAGGGCUUUAUGCCACCUAAAAAUGUUUAAUAACAUAAAUUAUAUAUUUGCUUUAUAAGUUACAUUACUCGGCCUUUGUCACUGCUUAUCAGCAUUAACCCAUAUUUUCCAACUUGUUAAUAUUACUAAGAGAGCCCACGGAUUCUUGCUUAAUGAAGCAAGCCAAAAUUUCUUCUGAAAAAAACCCCUCAUUUUCCUCCUCAACACAAAGAAGAUUCUUAAAGGACGUAUUCAAUUAAUACUUUAAGAAAAAUAUCUACUCCCAAACAAACCAUCCCUUUACUAGGUCAGUAUUUGAUUUUCUUCUCGUUUUUUUCCUGCAGCCUGGGUAUCUUCUGGUUGCUCUUUUAUUUUCUAAAAUGGAAACUUUGGAUUGUUUGGAGGUUAACACUACAAACCAUUUGAAAUGAAAAACUUCUCUCUGUUCUAUAUUUGCCAAGGAAAGGGAGAGCUGCCCCCAGCUGAAACGCAGCAUUGAGCUCCUUUCUGUGGAGGUCAAGAGCGCCAUGCAAAUUUAUGAAAGUGGUGCUAUUUGAAUGUCUCAGUGUACCACUUUGAUAGAUCUUAGUCUAUCGCUAACAAAUAUUGUAUCGUUCUAGUAAGCGUGAUGAUAACAAUUCAUUCUCAUUACUCUGGGACGUUGGGCUUAUUCUGCUCCAUUAUAAUAGGAGCACCUACAUCCCCCACAUUCCAGCAAUAUUUAACAGGGUUCAAAGUGGCCAUCCUCAAAUACCUCUAGCCCCAUGCCUUUGUCAGAGAGACGGAAGGAAAAGAAGCAGCUCAGAGCUUAUUUAAAAGUCUUUUAUUUUAGAAAGGAAAUGAACAUUUUAAAAUAAAAUAAAUAAAGACCAUCUGGGGGUGACUGAUUUGGAUACUACUUACUUCCACUUGCUAUUGUUAUUUCUUUGGAUCUGAAAAUUAAGCCACAGAGCUACAACUAGAUUCUCAGUUUUGCCAACCUUCACAGCACCAGCAGGCUCUGAGCAAUUGUACCACAGCUCACUUGUGAUGAGAUGGGGAAACAACAAAGUAUCUAUGAAUGGUUAUGUCUCAGUUUCUGUUCAUCGUACUGUUGGUUUCCUGUUCUCUUUAUUUAACUUUUUAGGUUGCAUACACGAGGGCCUGCUCUUUUCUCUGAAUAAUUCCUCAAUUCAGCUCUGUCUUUUUUUGUUCCCCUUGGUAGGGCUUCAGUUCAUCUCCCAGAUUCUUUUUUUUUUUUUUUUUUUUUUUUUUUGAGACAAAAUCUCACUCUGUUGCCUAGGCUGGAGUGCAGUGGCACAAUCUCGGCUCAUUGCAACCUCUGCCUCCCAGGCUCAAGCAACUCUCAUGCCUCAGCCUCCAGAGUAGCUGGGAUUACAGGCGCACGCCACCAUGCCCAGCUAAUUUUUUUGUAUUUUUAGUAGAG